rnacentral:lncRNA from 1 species
UCUUUUGUCAAACCUAAAUUUCCCCCUUUUUUUCCUUGUAAAAUUAUCCUCUAAGAAAGCAACCACUGGACGAUGGUCAGACCCCACCAUCUUUAGAUACUCUGUAUAAGAAUAUGGAAAAAGCGUGUGCCAUUCCUCAUUUGCCAAAGCCCGAUCUAAGCGACAUCUGACCGUCACUGCUCCUUUUCCUUUGCCCCUUCUUCCUUGCCAAGACAGUGUAUUACCUCGAGCCAGAAAUUCUAAUAAGCCACUAUUCCUUAUCAUAUUAUUGAAAGGGAUAAAUGAAGUUGUACAACGUAGAGAGCCUCCAUCCUUUUCAUGAUUCCCAGUAAUCUCGUUUAGAUCUCCAAUAAUAAACCAAGAUUCCGAACGUGCUAAUCCAAAUCAAGUUAAUCUCUUCCAUACCUGUUCUCUUAGCUUUUGCCCCAAAUCCCCAUAAACA